rnacentral:tRNA from 1 species
UCCAUUGUGGUGUAGUGUUUUGAGUGUCGGACUAUGACUCUGGAGACCAGGGUUCGAUACCCUGCUCAGCCA